UACGGGGGAGCAAGCGUUGUUCGGAUUUACUGGGCGUAAAGGCGCGGUAGGCGGCACCGCAAGUCGACUGUGAAAUCUCCGGGCUUAACCCGGAAAGGUCAGCCGAUACUGCGGGGCUAGAGUGCAGAAGGGGCAACUGGAAUUCUCGGUGUAGCGGUGAAAUGCGUAGAUAUCGAGAGGAACACCUGCGGCGAAGGCGGGUUGCUGGGCGUGAACACGUGACGCUGGAUGCGCGAAAGCUAGGGAGCGAACGGG
rnacentral:rRNA from 1 species